GGGAGUGUAGUUUAAUUAAAAUUACAAAGCUGUUAACUUUGAGUUGCUUAUUUUUAUAGGCCAUUCCCU
rnacentral:tRNA from 1 species